AAAGAUUAUCCUGAAAAACUAAAGAGUGGAGCUGUCUUUUAUGGUGACCUGGGAGAGAAGGCUUGCUAGGUGUCCAGGGUGAGCUCCACGAAGAGGUCUGAAGUGCCAUAAAAGGGACAGGAAAGGACAUCUCCAAGAGUGACGUGGUUAAAUGCCAAGAGCCGGCCUCUCUGCUGAAAAUGCAGAGUCAGAAUAAAUCAGCACCAGCAACCCUGGAAGCAUUUCAGAGUUCCGGGGU